GCAUGGGUUUGGAUUUAUGGCAAGCCCGUUCCUCUGGGCCUCUCAUAGUGUCCCACGUCAGAGCAAACUGGCCCCGAACCAUUGCCUGGCCUCUGUCUGUAGGCCACAGGCACUGAAGUGGUUUGCACAGUG
ensembl:snoRNA small nucleolar RNA SNORA42/SNORA80 family